UUGCGCAAUGGGCGAAAGCCUGACGCAGCGACGCCGCGUGGGGGAUGACGGCCUUCGGGUUGUAAACCUCUUUCAGCAGGGACGAAGCGGAAGUGACGGUACCUGCAGAAGAAGCACCGGCCAACUACGUGCCAGCAGCCGCGGUAAUACGUAGGGUGCAAGCGUUGUCCGGAAUUAUUGGGCGUAAAGAGCUCGUAGGCGGUUUGUUGCGUCGGCUGUGAAAACCUGAGGCUCAACCUCAGGCCUGCAGUCGAUACGAGCAGACUAGAGUGUUGCAGGGGAGACUGGAAUUCCUGGUGUAGCGGUGAAAUGCGCAGAUAUCAGGAGGAACACCGGUGGCGAAGGCGGGUCUCUGGGCAACAACUGACGCUGAGGAGCGAAAGCGUGGGGAGCGAACAGGAUUAGAUACCCUGGUAGUCCACGCCGUAAACGUUGGGCGCUAGGUGUGGGGCUCAUUCCACGAGUUCCGUGCCGCAGCUAACGCAUUAAGCGCCCCGCCUGGGGAGUGCGGCCGCAAGGCUAAAACUCAAAGGAAUUGACGGGGGCCCGCACAAGCGGCGGAGCAUGUUGCUUAAUUCGAUGCAACGCGAGGAACCUUACCUAGGCUUGACAUGCACGGAAAUCCUCCAGAGAUGGUGGGUCCGUAAGGGUCGUGCACAGGUGGUGCAUGGUUGUCGUCAGCUCGUGUCGUGAGAUGUUGGGUUAAGUCCCGCAACGAGCGCGACCCUCGUUCUAUGUUGCCAGCACGUCAUGGUGGGGACUCAUAGGAGACUGCCGGGGUCAACUCGGAGGAAGGUGGGGACGACGUCAAAUCAUCAUGCCCCUUAUGUCUUGGGCUGCACACAUGCUACAAUGGCCGGUACAAAGGGCUGCUAAACCGCGAGGUGGAGCGAAUCCCAAAAAGCCGGUCUCAGUUCGGAUUGGGGUCUGCAACUCGACCCCAUGAAGUCGGAGUUGCU
rnacentral:rRNA from 1 species